rnacentral:tRNA from 1 species
AGUCCUUUGGUGUAAUUGGCAACACAUUAGAUUUUGAUUCUAAGGAGUUCAGGUUCGAUCCCUGAAGGGACUA